UAAUACGGAGGGUGCAAGCGUUAUCCGGAUUCACUGGGUUUAGAGGGUGCGUAGGUGGGCAAGUAAGUCAGUGGUGAAAUCUCCGGGCUUAACCCGGAAACUGCCAUUGAUACUAUUUGUCUUGAAUGCUGUGGAGGUCAGCGGAAUAUGUCAUGUAGCGGUGAAAUGCUUAGAUAUGACAUAGAACACCAAUUGCGAAGGCAGCUGGCUACACAAAUAUUGACACUGAGGCACGAAAGCGUGGGGAUCAAACAGGAUUAGAUACCCUGGUAGUCCACGCCCUAAACUAUGGAUACUCGACAUCGGCGAUAAACUGUUGGUGUCUGAGCGAAAGCAUUAAGUAUCCCACCUGGGAAGUACGAUCGCAAGAUU
rnacentral:rRNA from 1 species